rnacentral:lncRNA from 1 species
AAUAAUCCAUCAUUUCUUUUCCAGCUGCCUAAGAUGCUGAAAGGAAAGAAGAUCAAUGGGAAGAAGGUGGCCUUGGACACUGCUGUCUGGAAGAAGCAGGAGGCCCAGAAGGUGGCUGAUCCCCUCUUUAAGAAAAGGCCUAAAACUUUUGGCACUGGAUAGGACAUCUAGCCCAAAGAGACCUCACCCUCUUUGUCAAAUGGCCUAGGUACAUCCUUCUGCAGAAGCAAAGGGCUCUCCAUUAUUAGCAGCUGAAAGUGCUCCCUGAGAUCCACCCGUCAUUCAGACCUUGGACACCAAACAACUGCCCCCUGCUUAAGGUAGUCCUAAGGAAAGACAAGAGGUGAAGUAAGAAAAGAAGCAGAGACUUCUGACCAGGGCUAAGAAGAAAGCUGCUAGCAAAGUGGAUGUCCCCACUAAGAGACCACCAAGUCCUUGAGCAGGAGUCAGUACUGUCAGCACCUUGAAGGCAAACAAGGAGCCUUACCUGGUGGUAACUGCACAUGACAUGGAACCCAUCUGACCGCUUUUCUCCUUCCUUACCCUGUCGGGUAAGGUGAAGACCCCCUAUGAUGUCAUCAAGGAGAAGACUGGACUGAAAUGUCUAGUCCACAGGAAGAUGUACAACACUGUUGCCUGAGUAUAGAUUGGCUGGGAAGAUAAAGGAUUAUGUUGGAUUAGGCCCCAACUUUCUUAAUAAAACUCCUGUAGUGCAAGAAUUAAAACCAAGAAUCAAUAAAUGGGAUGAAUUCAAACUAAAAAGCUUCUUAUCAGCAAAAGAAACAAUCAGUGAGGUGAAUAGAGAGCCUACAGAAUGGGAGCAAAUUUUUACCACAGGAACAUCAGAUAGAGCACUAAUCUCUAGGAUAUAUAAAGCACUCACAAACCUUAACACCAAAAAAACCCAAAUAAUCCAAUCAAUAAAUGGGCCAAGGAACUGAGCAGAAGAGGAUAUGAAAACAAAUGAAAAAAUGCUCGACAUCUCUAGCAAUUACAGAAAUGGAGAUCAAAACUAUUCUAAGAUUUCAUCUCACUCCAGUCAGAAUGGCACAUAUCAAGUAUUGGCGAGGAUGUGGGGGGAAAGGCACACUCAUACAUUGCUGGUGGGACUGAAAUUGGUGCAACCAAUCUGGAAAGCAGUAUGGAGAUUCCUUGGAAAACUGGGAAAGGAACCACCAUUUGACCCAGCUGUCUCACUCCUUGGUUUAUACACAAAGGAAUUAAAAACAGCAUAUUACAGGGACACAGCCAUAUCAAUAUUUAUGGCAGCACAAUUCACAAUAGCUAAAUUAUGGAACCAACCUAGAUGCCCUUCAGUACACGAAUGGAUAGGGAAACUUUGAUAUACACACACACACACACACACACACACAAUGGAACAUUUAUCAGCAUUAAAAGAGAAUAAAAUCAUGGCAUUUGCAGGUAAAUGGAUGAAGUUGGAGAAUAUAAUGCUAAGUGAAGUUAGCCAAUCCCCAAAAACCAAAGGCCGAAUGUUUUCUUUGAUAUGAGGAAGCUGACUCAUAAUGGCAAUUGAUGGGGGAGCAUGGAGGAAUGGAGGAAC